CCAAGAACAGGGAUCUUAGAAUCAAGUUCCUAUUAAAGUGGCUGGUUCUCAAAUUGUGAUCCCAAACCUCCUUGCAGGAUUACGAACAUUCUCACUCACACACACACAUGCAAGCCUCAGGUCGUGUCCUCGUUCAGACCUGUCUCCCCGUGAAUCCAUCGACCACUUGAAACAGGAUCUAGAUUGGGACUAAUCACCGAGUGUAUUUACUUGCACAAUAAUAAUCUGAUCAUUAUCUGAUUUCAGCACGUUGUUCAAACAGAUCUGCAUCACAAAAGCAGCUCAAAUUGGACCAGCAGUAUUCAUGCUACGUUUGAGGUGACGUUGCAACCUGUAAUUCCACAUCUACAACCGGUAACAGCCACCACAAACACCCCAACUACCAGCUUGGGGUGGUUACUCAACUACCAGCUCCUUCGCUGUUUACCGAGUGACAUCGAAUCAGGAAGGCCACAGACACUGCAAACAGUGUAAAAGUUUCCUUUCUCUACUUUAUAAUUAGUUUACAGCAGUGCUGGCGGAUACAGUACUUGGUUCAAUCUGUAACACUGUCCAUAUUAAUCACUGCUUUGAGAAUUUUGUCACUAAUCCUAGCUAAGUAACUUGUUGCUAACAUUACCCAAUACUGUCCACUGGCUAGCUUGUUGCUAAAGCUAAUCACCGUUGUCUGAAGUUGUUGCUGUGCUGCAUGUUACUUUAUAGUUAUAGUAGAACAGAACUAAUACACCCUCAGGCCUGAAUCUGUAAAAGUGCACUCAAAUGAGAUUUUUAUCAGCUUUACGUUCUCUGACAGAGCAAACAAGACACACUUUCAUGGAGGACAUCUCAUCUCAUUAUCUCUAGCCGCUUUAUCCUGUUCUACAGGGUCGCAGGCAAGCUGGAGCCUAUCCCAGCUGACUACGGGCGAAAGGCG